GAGAAAAUGAGAAAGGAAGCAAACGCACAAACGGGAGAGAGAGAGAGAGAGGAAGAAGAGAAGAGAAAGGGAGGGAGUUAGGCUUGGAUCUAGGAGUCUUUGCGACCGUUGCGAGCUCGGCUACACGAUAGAAAAUUGUUGGUGGAACUUAUUGAGAAGUAAGGAACAAGCCGAGCCCUAUUUUGUACAAGGGGAACCCUUUUAGUACCAAAGGGUUGAGGUCCAGGCGAAGGAUCCAGUGGUGGACGGGGAAAAGAGCAAAGCUAGGGGUUUGCUUGUGAUUUGUAAAGAACUGCAACCCCUUUCUUUUGAGCAAAUAUAUUGUAAUGUAUUUAAAAUUAGGGUGCCAGUAGGAUAUGAUUAUGUGUGUGUGUGUGAAUAUGUGUGGAUUGUGUGCUUGUGUAUGAAUUUUUGUCUGUUUGCAGACUUGUGGCUAGGAAACUUG